rnacentral:siRNA from 1 species
ACACAAAUGUUAUCGUUGACCAGG